ensembl:snRNA U1 U1 spliceosomal RNA
AUACUUCCUGGCAGGGGAGAUACCAUGAUCACAAAGGUGGUUUACCCAGGGUGAGGCCCAGGCAUUGAACUACGUCUGUGCUGACCUCUGCGAAUUCCCCAAAUGUGGGAAUAUCUACGGCAUAAUUUCUGGCAAUGGGGGACUGCGUUCACGUUCUCCCCUG